UUUUUUUUUUGAGGCGGAGUCUCCCUGUCUCCCAGGCUGGAGUGCAGUGGCGCGAUUUCCGCUCACUGCAAGCUCCGCCUCCCGGGUUGACGCCAUUCUCCUGCCUCAGCCUCCCGAGUAGCUGUAGCUGGGACUACAGGCGCCCGCCGCCACGCCCGGCUAAUUUUUUGUAUUUUUAGUGGACACGGGGUUUCACCGUGUUAGCCAGGAUGGUCUCUAUCUCCUGACCUCGUGACCCGCCCGCCUCGGCCUCCCAAAGUGCUGGGAUUACAGGCGUGAGCCACGGCGCCCGGCCUGACAUUUCUAAUAGUGCAUGUAUUAAGAUGAAGAAGGAGGAGGAUUGGAGAACUGAGUAAAGGAAGAGGAGGACGAAGAAAGAAAAAGAAACCGAGGGACCAUUUUAAAUAAAAGAUAAAUCAAGAGAAAACUGUCUUACCAGAUUGCAUUCCCCAAAGUGAGGGCAGUCCAGAGUGGCACACCAAAGUAUUUCUGAUGCCAGAACUUCACCAUCAGAGACAGCAGUCCUCUUCCCUGGCCUGGACAAGAUCCCCAAGGUACUCACAAUACUUCUCAUGGAUUGAGGCAUGAAAAGGUCUCCUGAUGAAGGACUCAAGUUGGUGGAGAAGCUGAUCGUCCACCUCGAUCUCACUUUUUCCAGUGUAGAAAUGGUAAGUUGGGGGAAAUUUUUUGCACUCUUGGUGCUAGACAGAUUGGGGGGAUAGUUGUUGCAUAUAGGAAAUUAAAUUAUCUUACUGUCUGCUCAGAGUUUUUAAGCUUUCUGUGGCGCUGGGAAAUGACUUAUCCUCAUCUUUGAGUUCUGGAAUAUUGCCGGUGACAAUCUCAGUGCCUUACAUUUUUUUGGUUUUCUGUGGGUAGCAGGGAAGCCAGCUGCCAUUUUGGAACUGAAAGUCUCCUCUGCUAUGAUACUUUCUAUGACACCAACAAUUUUACCACAUUUGCUUUUGCAAAAUCAGUGUAAAUUUCAACAGAGUGAACAAAGUCAAUUAAUGUUUUAUCAUUACUAAAACAAUAGUUUGACCUUGUAGAUACUCUAAAAGCAUAUAUUUUAAUAAUAUAUUAAUAAGAGUAUCCACAGCUUCCUGGACUACAAUUUGAGAAGCAUUGCAGUAAAGUGUAGCCCUUGCAUAACUUGCCAUGAGUGUGCAGUAUGCUACAAGCAUUAGUCAGUUUCUUUUCUUUCUUUUUUUUUUUUUUUUGAGAUGGAGUCUCCCCCCGUCCCCCAGGCUGGAGUGCAAUGGCACCAUCUUGGCUCACUGUAACCUCUACCUCCUGGGUUCAAGCCAUUCUUCUGCCUCAGCCUCCUGAGUAGCUGGGAUUACAGGUGCCCACCACCACACCUGGCUAAUUUUUGUAUUUUUGGUAGCAACAGAGUUUUGCCAUUUUAACCAGGCUGGUCUCGAACUCCUGACCUCAGAUAAUCCACCUGCCUCAGGCUCCCAAAGUGCUGGGAUUACAGGCCUAAGCCACGGGGCCCAGCCAGUCAGUUUCUUUUCACAGAGGGGAGCUCUUAUUUUUCCAGCUAGCUGGAUAGUUUGAUUAAAAAGACCUCGGUCAUUUAAAUUAGUGACAUAGAAAAUUAUAUAAUUUUGUUGCCAAAUUCUUUGUAUUAGUUUUCUGUAGCAUUUGUAUAACAUUUUAAAAAGGUGUAUAUUAUUAGCCCCAUUUUCUAGAUUAAUAAAUUGAGACUAUUAUUUUUUGAACAUAAUAAUAGGCUUUUUUUCAUAAGACUAGUGUUUUGUUAAAAAGAUUUAGUCUCAUAUGGGAAUUGGAAUUGAACAAAAAUAUUGUCUUAGGUCGAUUUUCACUGAGAAAUAUGUUUUUAUUUUUAAGCUCAUAAACUCAUACUGAUCAACAUCAAUUACAGGACAAUAUCUGAGACCUCAGUUCAAAAAAACAAGUAACUGUAUUUAACUGAAGAAGGUCACUGUUAAUCCUAGUCAAUAAAGUAACUAAUAGAUAAUCCCUUUUUAAAGAUACCAGCUCAAGUUCAGUCUUUAAAAUGGCAUUUUCUUCUGACAAUAUGUAAACACUAAAGAAGAAAACUUUUAAAAAAUAUUUUUCUUUAGUUUUAUAUUUAAAAUAACCAAUUCUGUUAUUUAAAGUAUUUUAAUGUUGUUUUCUCCAAUACAAUACAUUACUUCAUUAAUCUCAUUGUUUAGUAUUCUAAACCAAUAUUCUUUUAUUAGGUUUGUUUGUUUGCUGUGGCUUCUGGUCUGGGUGGAAAAUUAGUUUUUGAACAAAUUCAAUAUAUGUGGAAAGAAAUUAAAUGUCCUGAAUAACCAUUGUGUUGUUCUUGCAGAAUUUUAUUUUUCUAUGGGCAAACUUUUAAAGUUUUCAGUAUCUUAAGCUUAUGGAGUUGAAUUACAGCCUCUUCUUCUCGAAAGUGUUACUUCAUAGAGAUAUGUGUUCCUUAAUUAGUUAGAAUUUUGGCUUUUUGUUAUGUCUGGUGGUAUAUUCUGUGAUACAAUGUAGGAUGGGAUGCUGAAGUUUUGUUCUUAAAGAGAAAAACCUUUGCAUUAUCCUCAGGAUGCCUAAACAAUUACCACCCCCUAAAUCAGUCAACUAAUUAAUCAGUCCUAUUACCAAAAUGGCCAACCUGCUCAUCUGACCAUCUCAGGUUGUAAUUGUGUCUUGGCAAUACACAGCAGCAGCUCCCAUACUUUGUAUAUGGAGCCACCCUUGAAUGAAAGUGUAUUCGGCAUCCUGGUAAUCCUGUGAACCUGUGUUCCUAAAAUCAAAUAACUCCCCACAACUUUAGUGUCAGCAAAUUUUUCUUUACUAUGCUGAAAGUAAUAUAUCUUCAAUUGUAUAAAUGAAGCCAGAUAGCUUAAAAGUGUUUUCAGCUGAUAGUCUUGGUUAUCUGAAGGGCCAUUCUUAACAUCUUUCAAGUCUGUCUAGGCCUUUUCUUACCUCUGUCUUUUAGACUUUUACAUAACAAUCUGUUUUUUGCUGAGGGGGUGAAGGUUGUUUGUUUUUGAGGACAAAGAAUGUACCUUCACCUCUGUCUGUUCAUCUUUCUGUUAAACAAUACAACUAUACCCUUCAUUGAGGCAUUGAAAACCACACCCUACAGGCAGAUGGGCUAAGAUUUCACCAUGGACCCAGAGGAAAAUCCUGUCCUUCAAGUGAGAGAAACCAAGUCACAAAAUAGCAGCCACAAAUUCCACAAGGAAUUUGGCUUGAUAAUACACUGUGUGCAUUGAUAAUGUACAGUAGCCAUUGAAGAUACACUGACCAGGUCCAAAAUAAAAAGGUAAAACCUGCAGAAACUUGACUGCCGUCUAUUGCAAUGCUUUUAAUCUGCAAUAACAUCUUCAUCAAAAUUCAGUGACGAUUCUUAAUAUUUUACCAGGAAAUUACAUUAAUGAACAGGUGAAUUUUUCAAUCAAUCAGAAAUUGUAAUCCUGCCGUCAAUUUCUUUUCACUUCCCUUGGAUUCGUACCACUUUGUUCUUCUUGAGGUUAAAUUUUUCUGUUUAUUUAAAAAAAUUGUUUCAUUCAUUUAUCUGUUACCUUAAAAAUUUCUCAGACACUAAAACUUGUGGCUAUAAAAACAAGAAAAAUGAGACACCUGUCUUCAAAGAGUUUACAUUUAAUCAGACAAUCCAUUGACAGUGUAAGUGCUAUGUAAAGUUGCAAUUGAGAUAAAUAGCAUCUUUUUUUUUCUCAGAAGAAAUGACAUUUGAAUUUUAUUUUAUUGUAUUAUUAUUAUACUUUAAGUUUUAGGGUACAUGUGCACAAUGUGCAGGUUAGUUACAUAUGUAUACAUGUGCCAUGCUGGUGUGCUGCACCCAGUAACUCGUCAUUUAGCAUUAGGUAUUAUCUCCUAAAGCUAUCCCUCCCCGCUCUCCCCACCCCACAACAGUCCCCUAAGUGUGAUGUUCCCCUUCCUGUGUCCAUGUGUUCUCAUUGUUCAAUUCCCACCUAUGAGUGAGAACAUGCGGUGUUUGGUUUUUUGUUCUUGCAAUAGUUUACUGAGAAUGAUGAUUUCCAAUUUCAUCCAUGUCCCUACAAAGGACAUGAACUCAUCAUUUUUUAUGGCUGCAUAGUAUUCCAUGGUGUAUAUGUGCCACAUUUUCUUAAUCCAGUCUAUCAUUGUUGGACAUCUGGGUUGAAACCAAGUCUUUGCUAUUGUGAAUAGUGCCUCAAUAAACAUAUGUGUGCAUGUGUCUUAGCAGCAUGAUUUAUAGUCCUUUGGGUAUACACCGAGUAAUGGGAUGGCUGGGUCAAAUGGUAUUUCUAGUUCUAGAUCCCUGAAGAAUCGCCACACUGACUUCCACAAUGGUUGAACUAGUUUACAGUCCCACCAACAGUGUAAAAGUGGUCCUAUUUCUCCACAUCCUCUCCAGCACCUGUUCUUUCCUGUCUUUUUAAUGAUUGCCAUUCUAACUGGUGUGAGAUGGUAUCUCAUUGUGGUUUUGAUUUGCAUUUCUCUGAUGGCCAGUGAUGGUGAGCAUUUUUUCAUGUGUUUUUUGGCUGCAUAAAUGUCUUCUUUUGAGAAGUGUCUGUUCAUGUCCUUUGCCCACUUUUUGAUGGGGUUGUUUUUUUCUUGUAAAUUUGUUUGAGUUCAUUGUAGAUUCUGGAUAUUAGCCCUUUGUCAAAUGAGUAGGUUGUGAAAAUUUUCUCCCAUGUUGUAGGUUGCCUGUUCACUCUGAUGGUAGUUUCCUUUGCUGUGCAGAAGCUCUUUAAUUUAAUUAGAUCCCGUUUGUCAAUUUUGGCUUUUGUUGCCAUUGCUUUUGGUGUCUUAGAGAUGAAGUCCUUGCCCAUGCCUAUGUCCUGAAUGGUAAUGCCUAGGUUUUCUUCUAGGGUUUUUAUGGUUUUAGGUCUAACGUUUAAGUCUUUAAUCCAUCUUGAAUUGAUUUUUGUAUAAGGUGUAAGGAAGGGAUCCAGUUUCAGCUUUCUACAUAUGGGUAGCCAGUUUUCCCAGCACCAUUUAUUAAAUAGGCAAUCCUUUCCCCAUUGCUUGUUUUUCUCAGGUUUCUCAAAGAUCAGAUAGUUAUACAUAUGCGGUGUUAUUUCUGAGGGCUUUGUUCUGUUCCAUUGAUCUAUAUCUCUGUUUUGGUACCAGUGCCAUGCUUAUUUGGUUACUGUAGCCUUGUAGUAUAGUUUGAAGUCAGGUAGCGUGAUGCCUCCAGCUUUGUUCUUUUGGCUUAGGAUUGACUUGGCGAUGCAGGCUCUUUUUUGGUUCCAUAUGAACUUUAAAGUAGUUUUUUCCAAUUCUGUGAAGAAAGUCAUUGGUAGCUUGAUGGGGAUGGCAUUGAAUCUAUAAAUUACCUUGGGCAGUAUGGCCAUUUUCAUGAUAUUGAUUCUUCCUACCCAUGAGCAUGGAAUGUUCUUCCAUUUGUUUGUAUCCUCUUUUAUUUCAUUGAGCAGUGGUUUGUAGUUCUCCUUGAAGAGGUCCUUCACGUCCCUUGUAAUUUGGAUUCCUAGGUAUUUUAUUCUGUUUGAAGCAAUUGUGAAUGGGAGUUCGCUCAUGAUUUGGCUCUCUGUUUGUCUGUUAUUGGUGUAUAAGAAUGCUUGUGAUUUUUGUACAUUGAUUUUGUAUCCUGAGACUUUGCUGAAGUUGCUUAUCAGCUUAAGGAGAUUUUGGGCUGAGACGAUGGGGUUUUCUAGAUAUACAAUCAUGUCAUCUGCAAACAAGGAUAAUUUGACUUCCUCUUUUCCUAAUUGAAUACCCUUUAUUUCCUUCUCCUGCCUAAUUGCCCUGGCCAGAACUUCCAACACUAUGUUGAAUAGGAGUGGUGAGAGAGGACAUCCCUGUCUUGUGCCAGUUUUCAAAGGGAAUGCUUCCAGUUUUUGCCCAUUCAGUAUGAUAUUGGCUGUGGGUUUGUCAUAGAUAGCUCUUAUUGAGAUACGUCCCAUCAAUACCUAAUUUAUUGAGAGUUUUUAGCACGAAGAGUUGGUGAAUUUUGUCAAAGGCCUUUUCUGCAUCUAUUGAGAUAAUCAUGUGGUUUUUGUCUUUGGUUCUGUUUAUAUGCUGGAUUACAUUUAUUGAUUUGCAUAUAUUGAACCAGCCUUGCAUCCCAGGGAUGAAGCCCACUUGAUCAUGGUGAAUAAGCUUUUUGAUGUGCUGCUGGAUUCGGUUUGCCAGUAUUUUAUUGAGGAUUUUUGCAUCAAUGUUCAUCAAGGAUACUGGUCUAAAAUUCUCUUUUUUGGUUGUGUCUCUGCCCAGCUUUGGUAUCAGGAUGAUGCUGGCCUCAUAAAAUGAGUUAGGGAGGAUUCCCUCUUUUUCUAUUGAUUGGAAUAGUUUCAGAAGGAAUGGUACCAGUUCCUCCUUGUACCUCUGGUAGAAUUCGGCUGUGAAUCUAUCUGGUCCUGGAUUCUUUUUGGUUGGUAAGCUAUUGAUUAUUGCCACAAUUUCAGAGCCUGUAAUUGGUCUAUUCAGAGGUUCAACUUCUGCCUGGUUUAGUCUUGGGUGAGUGUAUGUAUCGAGGAAUGUAUCCAUUUCUUCUAGAUUUUCUAGUUUAUUUGCGUAGAGGUGUUUAUAGUAUUCUCUGAUGGUAGUUUGUAUUUCUGUAGGAUCGGUGGUGAUAUCCCCUUUAUCAUUUUUUAUUGUUUCUAUUUGAUUCUUCUCUCUUUUCUUCUUUAUUUUUCUUGCUAGCGGUCUAUCAAUUUUGUUGAUCCUUUCAAAAAACCAGCUCCUGGAUUCAUUAAUUUUUUGAAGGGUUUUUCGUGUCUCUAUUUCCUUCAGUUCUUCUCUGAUUUUAGUUAUUUCUUGCCUUCUGCUAGCUUUUGAAUGUGUUUGCUCUUGUUUUCUAGUUCUUUUAAUUGUGAUGUUAGGGUAUCAAUUUUGGAUCUUUCCUGCUUUCUCUUGUGGGCAUUUAGUGCUAUGCAUUUCCCUCUACACACUGCUUUGAAUGUGUCCCAGAGAUUCUGGUAUGUUGUGUCUUUGUUCUCGUUGGUUUCAAAGAACAUCUUUAUUUCUGCCUUCAUUUCAUUAUGUACCUAGUAGUCAUUCAGGCGCAGGUUGUUCAGUUUCCAUGUAGUUGAGUGGUUUUGGGUGAGUUUCUUAAUCCUGAGUUCUAGUUUGAUUGCACUGUGGUCUGAGAGACAGUUUGUUAUAAUUUCUGUUCUUUUACAUUUGCUGAGGAGAGCUUUACUUCCAACUAUGUGGUCAAUUUUGGAAUAGGUGUGGUGUGGUGCUGAAAAAAAAGUAUGUUCUGUUGAUUUGGGGUGGAGAGUUCUGUAGAUGUCUAUUAGGUCCGCUUGGUGCAGAGCUGAGUUCAAUUCCUGGGUAUCCUUGUUAACUUUCUGUCUCGUUGAUCUGUCUAAUGUUGACAGUGGGGUGUUAAAGUCUCCCAUUAUAAUUGUGUGGGAGUCUCAGUCUCUUUUUGGUCACUCAGGACUCGCUUUAGGAAUCUGGGUGCUCCUGUAUUGGGUGCAUAUAUAUUUAGGAUAGUUAGCUCUUCUUGUUAAUUGAUCCCUUUACCCUUAUGUAAUGUCCUUGUCUCUUUUGAUUUUUGUUGGUUUAAAGUCUGUUUUAUCAGAGACUAGGAUUGCAACCCCUGCCUUUUUUUGUUUUCCAUUUGCUUGGUAGAUCUUCCUCCAUCCUUUUAUUUUGAGCCUAUGUGUGUCUCUGCACGUGAGAUGGGUUUCCUGAAUACAGCACACUGAUGGGUCUUGACUCUUUAUGCAAUUUGCCAGUCUGUGUCUUUUAAUUGGAGCAUUUAGUCCAUUUACAUUUAAAGUUAUUAUUGUUAUGUGUGAAUUUGAUCCUGUCAUUAUGAUGUUAGCUGGUUAUUUUGCUCGUUAGUUGAUGCAGUUUCUUCCUAGCCUCGAUGGUCUUUACAAUUUGGCAUGAUUUUGCAGUGGCUGGUACUGGUUGUUCCUUUCCAUGUUUAGUGCUUCCUUCAGGAGCUCUUUUAGGGCAGGCCUGGUGGUGACAAAAUCUCUCAGCAUUUGCUUGUCUGUAAAGUAUUUUAUUUCUCCUUGACUUAUGAAACUUAGUUUGGCUGGAUAUGAAAUUCUGGGUUGAAAAUUCUUUUCUUUAAGAAUGUUGAAUAUUGACCCCCAGUCUCUUCUUCUGGCUUGUAGAGUUUCUGCCGAGAGAUCAGCUGUUAGUCUGAUGGGCUUCCCUUUGUGGGUAACCCAACCUUUCUCUCCGGCUGCUCUUAACAUUUUUUCCUUCAUUUCAACUUUGGUGAAUCUGACAAUUAUGUGUCUUGGAGUUGCUCUUCUCGAAGAGUAUCUUUGUGGUGUUCUCUAUAUUUCCUGAAUUUGAAUGUUGGCCUGCCUUGCUAGAUUGGGGAACUUCUCCUGGAUAAUAUCCUGCAGAGUGUUUUCCAACUUGGUUCCAUUCUCCCCAUCACUUUCAGGUACACCAAUCAGACAUAGAUUUGGUCUUUUCACAUAGUCUCAUAUUUCAUGGAGGCUUUGUUCAUUCCUUUUUAUUCUUUUUUCUCUAAACUGCCCUUCUUGCUUCAUUUCAUUCAUUUCAUCUUCCAUCACUGAUACCCCUUCUUCCAGUUGAUCGCAUCAGCUCCUGAGGCUUCUGCAUUCUUCAGGUACUUCUCGAGCCUUGGCUUUCAGCUCCAUCAGCUCCUUUAAGCACUUCUCUGUAUUGGUUAUUCUAGUUAUACGUUCGUCUAAAUUUUUUUCAAAGUUUUCAGCUUCUUUGCCUUUGGUUAGAAUUUCCUCCUGUAGCUCGGAGUAGUUUGAUCGUCUGAAGCCUUCUUCUCUCAACUCGUCAAAGUCAUUCUCCGUCCAGCUUUGUUCUGUUGCUGGUGAGGAGCUGCGUUCCUUUGGAGGAGGAGAGGCACUCUGCUUUUUAGAGUUUCCAGUUUUUCUGCUCUGUUUUUCCCCCAUCUUUGUGGUUUUAUCUACUUUUGGUCUUUGAUGAUGGUGAUGUACAGAUGGGUUUUUGGUGUGGAUGUCCUUUCUGUUUGUUAGUUUUCCUUCUAACAGACAGGACCCUCAGCUGCAGGUCUGUUGGAGUUUGCUAGAGGUCCAAUCCAGACCCUGUUUGCCUGGGUACCAGCAGCAGUGGCUGCAGAACAGCGGAUUUUCGUGAACCGCGAAUGCUGCUGUCUCAUGGUUCCCCUGGAAGUUUUGUCUCAGAGGAGUACCCGGCCGUGUGAGGUAUCAGUCUGCCACUGCUGGGGGGUGCCUCCCAGUUAGGCUGCUUGGGGGUCAGGGGUCAGGGACCCACUUGAGGAGGCAGUCUGCCCGUUCUCAGAUCUCCAGCUGCGUGCUGGGAGAACCACUGCUCUCUUCAAAGCUGUCAGACAGGGACAUUUAAGUCUGCAAAGGUUACUGCUGUCUUUUUGUUUUGUCUGUGCCCUGCCCCCAUAGGUGGAGCCUAGAUAGGCAGGCAGGCCUCCUUCAGCUGUGGUGGGCUCCACCCAGUUGGAGCUUCCUGGCUGCUUUGUUUACCUAAGCAAGCCUGGGCAAUGGCGGGCGCCCCUCCCCCAGCCUCGCUGCCACCUUGCAGUUUGAUCUCAGACUGCUGUGCUAGCAAUCAGUGAGACUCCGUGGGCAUAGGACCCUCCGAGCCAGUUGUGGGAUAUAAUCUCCUGGUGCGCCAUUUUUUAAGCCUGUUGGAAAAGCACAGUAUUAGGGUGGGAGUGACCCGAUUUUCCAGGUGCCAUCUGUCACCCCUUUCUUUGACUGGGAAAGGGAACUCCCUGACCCCUUGCGCUUCCCGAGUGAGGCAAUGCCUCGCCCUGCUUCCGCUCGCACACGGUGCGCUGCACCCACUGUCCUGCGCCCACUGUCUGGUACUCCCUAGUGAGAUGGACCCGGUACCUCAGAUGGAAAUGUAGAAAUCACCCGUCUUCUGCGUCACUCACACUGGGAGCUGUAGACCGGAGCUGUUCCUAUUCGGCCAUCUUGGCUCCUCCCUCAAUAGCAUCUUAUUAAUGAUUUUUGUCAAGAUAUGACUCUUAUACAUCGUGUCUAUAAAUGUACCUAAUUAGCUUAUGUGGGAUGAAAAAAAGAAAUAAGAUUUCAAAGGUGUCAUUGUCAAUAUAUCUACAAUAGUAAAUUUAGCUCCCUGAAAGUGUCCUCAGUUUUUACAACCUUCUGAAAUACGACCUUUUAAUAAGUCACUCCGCCACCCUAACUCCAUCUGCACCAUCUGAAAAAAAAAAACAAGAAACAAAUUAUGGAAUAAUCUUCUUGACAGUUCCAUAUAUUUCUAAUGAAUGGAUGUUUCUGAGUCCCCAUUGUUUGCCAUCUCCACAGACAGGAUUCAGUUAAUGAAAUGGCUAAUUAGAUUUCUGUAAUCCUGUUGUCAUUGUGUUUGAGGUGACAUUUUGUCGGCAUUUCUCUUGUGGCUUCUUCAGUUUAAUGGGAAAUAUUCUUGCUUAGCCAACUUGGCUUUUGCUAUUUUGUUGGAAAGGCAGUUCCCUCUAUUGGUGUAAUGAAAUCAUUGCCUUCCCAAAUAUAGCUCUGCCACUCAGCAUUUAAAUAGAAAAGAAUAGGAAAAUAAUAAUCUGAUUAG